GCAUUGGUGGUUCAGUGGUAGAAUACCCGCCUCCCAUGCGGGUGACCCGGGUCCGAUUCCCGGCCAAUGCA